rnacentral:misc_RNA from 1 species
AAGUCGUAACAAGUCUACGUAGGUGGAACCGAGCGGAGGAUCCAAUUGACCGAGUUUAGGCAAGCUCCCAAACCCCUGUGAACAUACCAAUUGUUGCCUCGGCGAAUCAGCCCGCUCCCGGUAAAACGGGACGGCCCGCCAGAGGACCCCUAAACUCUGUUUCUAUAUGUAACUUCUGAGUAAAACCAUAAAUAAAUCAAAA